rnacentral:lncRNA from 1 species
UCGCAGCUCCAAUUGCAAUCCUCUUCCUCGUAUUCCAGUCUAGAGCUGGUUUUCCUGCCAAACCCAACUCAUUUACAAGGUAUGCUAAAUUACAGUCAAGAAAUCAUUUUCAAAUUUAAUACUACAUUAUGCUUAAGAAUUGUUUGGAUUUUUGGCGAGGGGACAAUAUAGUAGCUUGUAAUGUCCAGUCUUAGACUAUAACUUAUUCUACUAAUCCGUUGUAGUCUGUAAACCAAUAACUAUAGUAGCCAUAACACCUGAAAAAGCUAACUUGGUAAACAUUUGUAAAAAAUAGGAAUUAGAUGAUGCAGAUAAUGGGUCCUCCCUCUCGGUAUUUAUCAUUUCAUAUUCAGCCCCACUGAAAAGAAAUGAAAUACAGUAGUAGCUUAUGAAGGAGGAUUGUAAAAAUGAAUUCCUACAAGAGUUAGGAAAACAUACAAUGAAGACUAUUGUCAGCUAGAAACUAUUUUGAACAGUAAUUUAUUAUUAUUAAAAAAAGGAAUAAUUACUCCAAACAUGAACGGGAUCCACAGACUGGGUCAUAAUAAUCAGAUUGUGCAGCUAUUUGACAAACAAAAUAGGUAAUCAAAUUGUCCAGCAUGAGAAUUGAAUGAAAGAAGUUUUAGCAAAGUAAAGCUAGGACCAACCUCUGAGCCUGGAUGCCACACUGCCAUUAGACAUGUAAGGGUAAACAAGAAGUCUCUCAUUAGAAGUAGCACAAUAUCCAAUUAAACGAAGCAGAUUGCGGUGAACUGCCAAGCUGAUCAUCUCCAACUCAGUCCUGAAUUGUGAUUCCCCAAAACUUCCCGUCAAGUCUUUUAGCCGCUUCACUGCCACAAGAGUAUCAUCUCCUAACUUUCCCUUGUAGACAUUGCCAAAACCUCCGGUGCCUAGAAUGUUCUUGGAGCUGAAGUUAUCUGUAGCAAGCUGGAGUUCCCUGAAAGUGAAGUUUCUCAGGUUACCUAGGCUUAUGAGGCCUUCUUCUUGUUUGUCUGCAAUAUACGUGUGACAACAUUAAAUCGUAUUAAAUAAACAUAUAAAAGAAAACUUUCGACAUUUAGUUAGUUGUUGUCACCAACCACUAAUAUUCAGAAUCGUUAGCCUUUUUCGUUUGUUUCUGUGCCAAAGUAGGGCAAAUGAGAGGAGUAUGAGAGUGGCAAAACUGAGGCUGAUUCCAAGUGCAAUAGCUAACUUGUUGGAUUUUUGUUCCCCUGAUUGAUGAGGCAAAAAAAGAAACAUACAUAAACAAUUAAUAAG